GGUAUUCCCCAGUGUGAAUUUCUAGAACUUCUUUAGGCAUUUAAUUACUGGUGGACAUUAUCUUUGUUUCCAUUUUUAAUUCUUAAAAACCCUGUAGCAUUACACAUCCCGGACCCACACCUCAGAGUCUGCAUGCAAGUAUUGGUGGGCACAGGUCUCAGGGCACUUGGCACUGCAGCAUAAAGCUCAAGGGAGCCAGACUGUCACGCAAAGCCCUUACAGCCUGUCCAUAGCCUUCCGUCCAACAUUAUGCUGCCUUGUCUCAUGGGACACAGGCACCUGGAACCAAACAUCAUGGAAACAUGAGGACUUUCCCCUUCUGAACCCAGAGACACUGUUCAAGCAGUGUUUUCAUCUCCUGUUUCUUGAAAUGCUCUUUCCUGGGGUUCCCAUUUCCUCUGACAUCAGCAUGGAUGGGAUACAUUUCCUUGGCUUUCCUUUCCUGGCUGCUCUUUUAAACAAGGCAUUUUUAAGAAUAAUAGUUUUCUGCCUGUUGCUGAAGCAAAGCAGACCAGCAAAAACAGAAGCGAUCAGAGCAAGCUGUACAGCUUAGAAGCCCUCCUGCAGACUUGAGUCUUGCAGUCUCGGUCGGCCUGACCCAUGCUGCUAAGAUGGAAAUCAGCAGCCUCCCUCACCAGGGACUCCUUUUUCUGCUCGUGUCAGGAAAAGUCUCCUCCAUUUAGACCUAGAAGAACUCUUUCCUCUUUUAAGUUCCUGACCCUGGGAGAGCUUUGACUCCAUCCAAACCCAGAAGGCUAGGAAAGAUGACCAUGAGUGAAUGACACACCCAGCCCAGAAACCAUUCCGAAAACCGUCCUAGGCUGUGGUGAAGUGUUCUGAAGUUGAUCAUCCCGGACUUAAAUUUUGGCUCCCCAACUCUUUAGCCAUGUCAGUCUGGGUAAGUAACUUUAACCUCUCCAUGCCUCAUUUGCCUCACCUGCUAAAUAUGGAAAGGAACAGGAAUGAUUUCAUAAGAUGGUUGUAUCGGGGUGCCUGGCUGUCUCAGUUUGGGGAGUGUGCCAUUCUGGAUCCCAGGGUAGCAAGUUCGAGUCCCCCAUCGGGUGUGGAGCCUGCUUAAAAUCAGCAUCCAGCAAUCGUCCACAGUACUGUUGACACAGAAAGAGUACUGCUGACCGGAUCUCCAGGGAGGAGGGAGGGGCUAACCAGGUGGUCCCAUAAGAAGAGACUUCAGAGUGCUCGUGGCAGGGUCCAUGGAGUUGUGGACAGGACGGGACCACCCAGAGUUCGAAUCCGGGCUCUACCCCACUUUUCUCAUCUCCCGAUGGGCGUUCAGGCCUGUGGCCGGGGGCUGUCGGGGGUCCCAUUGCCUCAGUGUGGACAUCGCCAGGACGUGCUCAGCACCCCGCGAUGCCUCAGGAAAGCUGUCCUUGCUGCACACACUACCGGGAACAGCAGGUGCUUCCAGCCCACACACCCAGAGACGCGGAGGUCCGGCGGUUUGGCGCCAAGCUCCCACUUCCUGUGGAGCCUCUUCGUUCGGCAGUGGCUCCUCUGCUGCUUUGGCCCAGGGCCAGACAAGGGUUCCCAGCCCUUCAGAUCGCCCGGGAACCUCAGGGCACGACAGCCCCGCGCCCUGGAGAGACCUCCUCCACCGCCCCUAGGCCACGCCCCUGCUGCGUGCGACCUGGCCCUCUGGCCCAGCUGAAGAGGUGCAUUUCCUUCCCCAGCCUGUGAUUGGCUUAGAAAGACACACGUGAUGCCUCGCUGGCCAAUGGGGUGUGAGGACGAUUGCCCUGGGGGAUUCUGGGAAGGGCUCUCUUCUCGAGACAGAGGGGGAGAGAGAGAGUGCAAGAGGAGAGGAGAGAAGCAGAGAGCUCCAUGCCUGGUUAGUCGGGUUAAGGCAUCUGUACCAGGAAAUGUGCAGAUCUAACAUGUACAAUCCUAAGGAUUUUGAGAAAUGCGCCCAUGUAAUCCACACACCACCAAGAUAGACAGCGCUCCCUCUGUCUAAAAAGUCCCCUGUGCCUUGCAGGCCAGUCCUCACACACAGAGGCAAUCGCUGCUUGAGUUUUAGCGCCAGUGAUGAGUUUUGCCUGACCUCGAGCAUCCUGUGAAUGGCUAUGCCUGACUUCUUUCACUCAGCGCAACAUGUGUGAAACUGACCCAUG